rnacentral:tRNA from 1 species
GGGGAUGCAGUUCAGUGGUAGAACAUGUGCUUAGCAUGCACAAGGUCCUACUGGGUUCAAGUCUCAGCGCGCGCG